AUACGGAGGAUCCGAGCGUUAUCCGGAUUUAUUGGGUUUAAAGGGUGCGCAGGCGGCCAUUUAAGUCAGCGGUUAAAUCGUGGGGCUCAACCCCAUUCUGCCGUUGAUACUGGGUGGCUUGAUUGCGGUCGAGGUUGGCGGAAUUCGUUGUGUAGCGGUGAAAUGCAUAGAUAUGACGAAGAACACCGAUUGCGUAGGCAGCUGACCAGAUCGCAAAUGACGCUCAUGCACGAAAGUGCGGGGAUCGAACAGGAUUAGAUACCCUGGUAAUCCGCACAGUAAACGGUGAAUACUUGGUUUCGGCGAUAUAAUGUCGGAGGCAAAGCGAAAGCGAUAAGUAUUCCACCUGGGGAGUACGCCGGCAACGGUGAAACUCAAAGGAAUUGACGGGG
rnacentral:rRNA from 1 species